rnacentral:misc_RNA from 1 species
GAUUUUAAGCACAAGAGAUCACUUAAAGACCACAUUAAGGCUUUUGGGAAUGGCCAUGCGGCCUAUGGCAUAGAUGGAUUUGAAGAAGAAGAUGAACCUGCAUCUGAAGUAGAACAAGAUAAUGAAUCCAUGCAGUGAAGUAGAAGAUCGAUCAUUACUGGAUUAUCUUAAUUUAAUGAGCUUAUAUCAGAUUCACAUAAAGCCCAGGCUUUUGAAGUAAGAACUGUAUAAGCAUCCAUAUUUACUUGGAAAGCCACCUCUAUUUCUUUCUUUCUUUAGCCUUCUAUGUUCUUUCCCUUUUCCUUGUUAGCGCUGUAGGAUCCUAAAAACAAAUCGAUCAUCAGGUAAGGUAAGUUCUGUAUA